rnacentral:lncRNA from 1 species
ACCGUCCCCAGCNUAUGGGGGAGGGGAGGGUUAGGGUUUGGGGACAGUGUUUGGGGGCAGGGUAUAUGGGGACAGGGUAGGGUUGGGGUUUGGGUACAGGAUUUGGGAACAGGGUAGGGUUAGGUUUGGGGAAUGGGUGCAUGGGGACAGGGCAGGGUUUGGGGACGUGGAAGGGCUGUGCCUUGGCAAGGCCAGCAGGGAUGGGCUCGGGGGGGGAGGGCUUAGGGUUGUGGGGUGGGGGUUGCCGAAAAACCCUAUGGACGCCCAGGAGCGCUGAGCACGGGGUCGUGCACACGUGUGAGCUCUGCAGGACGAUGUCCCCGUGCCACAGCUGUGGGGCACGGGGGGGUGCCAGGCGAGGGCUGGGGCUGUUUGAGGCGUGGGGGGAGGGACUGCUGUGUCCCCUCGGAGUCCCCUUGCCUGGCGCCGUGCCUCUGUUUCCCUAGAGGGCAGGGAGGCUCUGGGGGGGCCUCGCUGCUCACCCACCUCUCCCCAGCAGCGCUGAACGAGCCCACCAUCGACUAUGGCUUCCAGCGGCUGCAGAAGGUCAUCCCGCGGCACCCCGGGGACCCCGAGCGCCUGCCCAAGGAGGUGCUGCUGAAGCGCGCGGCCGACCUGGUGGAGGCUCUCUAUGGGAUGCCACACAACAACCAGGACCUGAUCUUGAAGCGCGCGGCCGACAUCGCCGAGGCUCUGUACAGCGUUCCCCGCGGCCCCGCGCAGCUCUCCUCGCUCGGCGGCACGCACGGCCCCGGCGCCGUCGUGGGGGUGAACUCGUUCGGCAGCCAGCUGGCCGUCAGCAUCGGGGACGCGGCGNAGAACGCGGGGAACCCCCGGGACAUGCGGCGCUUCCAGGUGGUGGUGUCGACGACGGUGAGCGUGGACGGCCACGUGCUGGCCGUGUCCGACAACAUGUUCGUGCACAACAACUCCAAGCACGGGCGGCGGGCACGGCGCCUCGACCCCUCCGAAGGUGAGCGCCCGAGCACGCGCACACGGGGCAUGCACACACACACACACACACACACACACGUGUGCACAAGGCUCAUGCACACCCAGAGCCACGCUCGCUCUGCUGGACGUGGGGCUGGGUCUGGAGGAGGUGUCCCCAGGGCGUGGGGGUCCCGCCCUCCCCAGGGGUCCUGGUGCAGCCCCACAACUGUGUGUGCCCCACGGGGUCAGGGCAGCCCCAGCUGCGCCCCGGGCUUUGUGCCGUGUCCGUUUGUCUGGCCGUCCACGUGGCACGCACCGUUUCCCCCUGUGGCCGCCGUGCGUAUGCAUCUCCUGUCCGUCCCUUUGUCCGUCUGUCUGUCUGGUGCCUCCAGGCUGCUCUGCCCUCACGUGUCCCCUCUCCAUCCGUGUGUCGGUGACAUCCGUCCGUGUCCGUCUGUCUGCACUCAGUGCCCACCCAACGCGUUUGCUCCCUCUGUCCGACUGCCCCCCAGCAGCACUGUCCCUGUCCCCCCCAGCCCAUGCCAUGUGUGCUGUCCCUCUGUCUGCAUCCAUCUGUCCUUCCAGGCGCUCUCCUUCCUAUAACGCCGUCCCCAUCCCUGUGGCACCGUCCCUGUCCCCUGUGUGCCGUCCGUCUGUCCAUCCGUGCACUCUCUCCCCCCUGCGGCACCGUCCCCAUCCCCGUGCCGUGCACAGCGUCCGUCCGUCCCUCUGUGCACUCCCCCCCCCCA